AGAUUUGUCCUGGCUCAGGAUGACGCUGGCUGUGUGCCUAAUACAUGCAUGUCGAGCGGAAGUAGCAAUACUUUAGCGGCGAAUGGGUGAGUAACACGUGCUUAAUCUACCUCUUAGAUUGGAAUACCUAAUGGAAACAUUGGUUAAUGCCGGAUACGCAUGGAGUCGCAUGACUCCGUUGUGAAAGGGGCCUUUAAAGCUCCACUAAGAGAUGAGGGUGCGGAACAUUAGCUAGUUGGUGAGGUAACGGCCCACCAAGGCUAUGAUGUUUAGCCGGGUCGAGAGACUGAACGGCCACAUUGGGACUGAGAUACGGCCCAAACUCCUACGGGAGGCAGCAAUCGAAUUCCCGCUUGCCACA
rnacentral:rRNA from 2 species